rnacentral:misc_RNA from 1 species
UGGCUCUCGCAUCGAUGAAGAACGCAGCGAAAUGCGAUAAGUAAUGUGAAUUGCAGAAUUCAGUGAAUCAUCGAAUCUUUGAACGCACCUUGCGCUCCUUGGUAUUCCUUGGAGCAUGCCUGUUUGAGUAUCAUGGAAUUCUCAACUCCCAAGUUUCUUAGAAACAUGGUGAGCUUGGACUUGGAGGAUCUGUGCUGGCUAGUAAUCAAGUCGGCUCCUCUGAAAUAUAUUAGCAUAAAUUUUGCAAUCAUCCUCAGUGUGAUAAUUGUCUACGCUGUGAAUGUGAAGCAUUUUAUGUUUAUGCUUAUAGCUGUCUUUUCAUUAAGACACUUUUUGACUUCUGAUCUCAAAUCAGGUAGGACUACCCGCUGA